AGAUACCCUAUUAUUAAAAAUGUAAAUAUUAAAACNUGAAUUAUUAUAAGUUAAGAUCUUUAAAAUUAAAAAAUUUGGCGGUAUUUUAGUCUGUUCAGAGGAACCUGUUUUUUGAUUGAUAAUCCACGAUAAUUUUUACUUUAAUUUUAAAUUUAUAUAUCGUCGUUUAUAAAAAUUUUAGGAGGAUUAGAAUUUUUAGGAUUUAAGAUUAUAAAGUAGUUCAGAUCAAGGUGUAGUUUAUAUUGAAGGUAAAAUGGGUUACAUUAUAUUUAUAUGUGGUUUUUGAUUUUAAAAUUUAGAUUAAAAUGGAUUUGAUAGUAAAAUUUUUAUUUUUGUGAUUUGAUUUAGCUCUAAAAUAUGCACACAUCGCCCG
rnacentral:rRNA from 1 species